rnacentral:rRNA from 1 species
ACGCUCGACACCUACGAGGCAGCAGUGGGGAAUAUUGCACAAUGGGGGAAACCCUGAUGCAGCGACGCCGCGUGAGCGAAGAAGUAUUUCGGUAUGUAAAGCUCUAUCAGCAGGGAAGAAACUGACGGUACCUGACUAAGAAGCACCGGCUAAAUACGUGCCAGCAGUCGCGGUAAUCUGAGCGGGCUGGCAAGGC